GUCUAAGCCAUGCGAGUCGAAUGUAGCAAUACAUGGCGUACUGCUCAGUAACACGUGGACAACCUACCCUCAGGACGGGUAUAAACCCGGGAAACUGGGUAUAAUGCCCGAUAGAUCUCGGAUGCUGGAAUGCGUCGAGUUCGAAAGCUCCGGCGCCUGAGGAUGGGUCUGCGGCCUAUCAGGUAGUAGUGGGUGUAGCGUACCUACUAGCCUACGACGGGUACGGGUUGUGAGAGCAAGAGCCCGGAGAUGGAUUCUGAGACACGAAUCCAGGCCCUACGGGGUGCAGCAGGCGCGAAAACUUUACAAUGCCGGCAACGGCGAUAAGGGAACCUCGAGUGCCAGGUUACAAAUCUGGCUGUCGUGAUGCCUAAAAAGCAUUGCAUAGCAAGGGCCGGGCAAGACCGGUGCCAGCCGCCGCGGUAACACCGGCGGCUCGAGUGGUAACCGUUAUUAUUGGGUCUAAAGGGUCUGUAGCCGGCCGGAUAAGUCUCUUGGGAAAUCCAGCAGCUUAACUGUUGGGCUUUCAGGAGAUACUGUCUGGCUCGAGGCCGGGAGAGGUGAGGGGUACUUCAGGGGUAGGGGUGAAAUCUUGUAAUCCUUGAAGGACCACCAGUGGCGAAGGCGUCUCACCAGAACGGACCUGACGGCAAGGGACGAAAGCUAGGGGCACGAACCGGAUUAGAUACCCGGGUAGUCCUAGCCGUAAACGAUACUCGCUAGGUGUCGGCCACGGUGCGACCGUUGUCGGUGCCGUAGGGAAGCCGUGAAGCGAGCCACCUGGGAAGUACGGCCGCAAGGCUGAAACUUAAAGGRAUUGGCGGGGGAGCACCACAACGGGUGGAGCUUGCGGUUUAAUGGAUUCAACGCCGGAAAUCUUACCGGGACCGACAGCAAUAUGAAGGCCAGGCUGAAGACUUUGCCGGAUUAGCUGAGAGGAGGUGCAUGGCC
rnacentral:rRNA from 1 species